GAUGAACGCUAGCUACAGGCUUAACACAUGCAAGUCGAGGGGUAGCAGGGUAGCAAUACCGCUGACGACCGGCGCACGGGUGAGUAACACGUAUCCAACCUUCCCAUAACUCGGGGAUAGCCUUUCGAAAGAAAGAUUAAUACCGGAUAGUACUUUUUCAAGGCAUCUUGAGAAAGUUAAAGAUUUAUUGGUUAUGGAUGGGGAUGCGUUCCAUUAGAUAGUUGGUGAGGUAACGGCUCACCAAGUCUUCGAUGGAUAGGGGUUCUGAGAGGAAGGUCCCCCACAUUGGUACUGAGACACGGACCAAACUCCUACGGGAGGCAGCAGUGAGGAAUAUUGGUCAAUGGGCGAGAGCCUGAACCAGCCAAGUAGCGUGAAGGAUGAAGGUCCUAUGGAUUGUAAACUUCUUUUAUAGUAGAAUAAAGUGACCCACGUGUGGGUUUUUGUAUGUAUACUAUGAAUAAGGAUCGGCUAACUCCGUGCCAGCAGCCGCCGCGGUAA
rnacentral:rRNA from 1 species